CAGCAGCCGCGGUAAAACGGAGGAUCCAAGCGUUAUCCGGAAUCAUUGGGUUUAAAGGGUCCGUAGGCGGUCUUGUAAGUCAGUGGUGAAAGCCCAUCGCUCAACGGUGGAACGGCCAUUGAUACUGCAGGACUUGAAUUAUUGGGAAGUAACUAGAAUAUGUAGUGUAGCGGUGAAAUGCUUAGAGAUUACAUGGAAUACCAAUUGCGAAGGCAGGUUACUACCAAUUGAUUGACGCUGAUGGACGAAAGCGUGGGUAGCGAACAGGAUUAGAUACCCCAGUAGUCCCUGUCUCUUAUAA
rnacentral:rRNA from 1 species